rnacentral:rRNA from 1 species
CGUAGGGGUCGAGCGUUGUCCGGAGUUACUGGGCGUAAAAGCGCAUGCAGGCGGCUCAUUACGCACGGCGUGAAAGCCCCCGGCUCAACCGGGGAGGGUCGUCGUGUACGGGUGAGCUUGAGGGUAUCAGGGGCUGGUGGAAUUCCCGGUGUAGUGGUGAAAUGCGUAGAGAUCGGGAGGAACACCUGUGGCGAAGGCGGCCAGCUGGGAUACACCUGACGCUGAGAUGCGAAGGCGUGGGGGAGCGAACGGGAUU